rnacentral:antisense_RNA from 1 species
AAAGUCAUCAGCAGCAAGAUGGGCAUUGUCAAUCUGCAGAACGCAUUGUCCACAGUAUUUGUGAAGAUCUGAGCCCUCAGGUCCUCAAUGGUCUUGAAGUAAUGGCUCCAGUCUCUGACCUGGGGUCCCUUCUUCUCCAGGUGCUCCCGGAUUUUGCUCUCCAGCCUCCGGUUCUCGGUCUCCAGGCUCCUCACUCCGUCCAGUUUUCCUGACUCUGAUUCUGAGUGGACAACCAGUGAAAAUUGCAGUGAAGAAAUGCAUAUUUAUUCCUCCCCUGGGAAAAAAAAUACCAUCAAAAGCUACUUGACUAGAG